AGGACGAACGCUGGCGGCGUGCUUAACACAUGCAAGUCGAACGGAAAGGCCCUGCUUUUGUGGGGUGCUCGAGUGGCGAACGGGUGAGUAACACGUGAGUAACCUGCCCUUGACUUUGGGAUAACUUCAGGAAACUGGGGCUAAUACCGGAUAGGAGCUCCUGCUGCAUGGUGGGGGUUGGAAAGUUUCGGCGGUUGGGGAUGGACUCGCGGCUUAUCAGCUUGUUGGUGGGGUAGUGGCUUACCAAGGCUUUGACGGGUAGCCGGCCUGAGAGGGUGACCGGCCACAUUGGGACUGAGAUACGGCCCAGACUCCUACGGGAGGCAGCAGUGGGGAAUAUUGCACAAUGGGCGAAGCCUGAUGCAGCAACGCCGCGUGCGGGAUGACGGCCUUCGGGUUCGUAACCGCUUUCGCCUGUGACGAAGCGUGAGUGACGGUAAUGGUAAAGAAGCGACGGACUAACGUACGUGCCAGCAGCCGC
rnacentral:rRNA from 1 species